UGGAAGAAAGUCAAGAAACUACAUUGUUGCUCAUUAUUGUUAUUUGUUAUUGUUGGCACUUGAAACUUGAAAGUGGUCUCAUGGAAGAGGCUACAUUGUUUGUUGCUCA